UGCCACUGAGGAGUCCCACAAUAGGACGAAACGGUCGUCUGAUGA
rnacentral:hammerhead_ribozyme from 1 species